GAUGACCAUCCGGGUAACGCCGGACUUCCCUUUCGGGGCAUCAGAGACAGGUGGUGCAUGGUGUCGUCAGCUCGUGUCGUGAGAUGUUGGGUUAAGUCCCGCAACGAGCGCAACCCCUAUCCUUAGUAGCCAGCGGUCCGGCCGGGCACUCUGGGGAGACUGCCAGGGAUAACCUGGAGGAAGGCGGGGACGACGUCAAAUCAUCAUGCCCCUUACGGUCUGGGCUACACACGUGCUACAAUGGCGUAAACAAAGGGAAGCAAAUAUGUGAGUAUGAGCAAAUCUCAAAAAUAACGUCUCAGUUCGGAUUGUAGUCUGCAACUCGACUACAUGAAGCUGGAAUCGCUAGUAAUCGCGAAUCAGAAUGUCGCGGUGAAUACGUUCCCGGGUCUUGUACACACCGCCCGUCACACCAUGGGAGUUGGGAAUGCCCGAAGUCUGUGACCCAACCGUAAGGAGGGAGCAGCCGAAGGCAGGCUCGAUAACUGGGGUGAAGUCGAACAAGGAACCUA
rnacentral:rRNA from 1 species